rnacentral:piRNA from 1 species
UGUCAGGGAAAACCUCUGUCAAGUUGGC